rnacentral:rRNA from 1 species
UACGGGGGGGGCAAGCGUUGUUCGGAAUUACUGGGCGUAAAGGGCUCGUAGGCGGCCAACUAAGUCAUACGUGAAAUCCCUCGGCUUAACCGGGGAACUGCGUCUGAUACUGGAUGGCUUGAGUUCGGGAGAGGGAUGCGGAAUUCCAGGUGUAGCGGUGAAAUGCGUAGAUAUCAGGAGGAACACCUGCGGCGAAGGCGGGUAGCUGGGCCGACACUGACGCUGAUGCGCGAAAGCCAGGGGAGCGAACGGG